ACACGUGGUAUCCUGUCUGAAUAUGGGGGGACCAUCCUCCAAGGCUAAAUACUCCUGACUGACCGAUAGUGAACCAGUACCGUGAGGGAAAGGCGAAAAGAACCCCGGCGAGGGGAGUGAAAAAGAACCUGAAACCGUGUACGUACAAGCAGUGGGAGCACCCUUCGGGGUGUGACUGCGUACCUUUUGUAUAAUGGGUCAGCGACUUAUAUUCUGUAGCAAGGUUAACCGUAUAGGGGAGCCGGAGGGAAACCGAGUCUUAACCGGGCGUUAAGUUGCAGGGUAUAGACCCGAAACCCGGUGAUCUAGCCAUGGGCAGGUUGAAGGUUGGGUAACACUAACUGGAGGACCGAACCGACUAAUGUUGAAAAAUUAGCGGAUGACCUGUGGCUGGGGGUGAAAGGCCAAUCAAACCGGGAGAUAGCUGGUUCUCCCCGAAAGCUAUUUAGGUAGCGCCUCGUGAAUUCAUCUCCGGGGGUAGAGCACUGUUUCGGCUAGGGGGCCAUCCCGGCUUACCAACCCGAUGCAAACUGCGAAUACCGGAGAAUGUUAUCACGGGAGACACACGGCGGGUGCUAACGUCCGUCGUGAAGAGGGAAACAACCCAGACCGCCAGCUAAGGUCCCAAAGUCAUGGUUAAGUGGGAAACGAUGUGGGAAGGCCCAGACAGCCAGGAUGUUGGCUUAGAAGCAGCCAUCAUUUAAAGAAAGCGUAAUAGCUCACUGGUCGAGUCGGCCUGCGCGGAAGAUGUAACGGGGCUAAACCAUGCACCGAAGCUGCGGCAGCGAACGUAUCACCCAAGACAACUUUACGGAGUUGACGAUUGACGGAGCGAAGCGACGUCAAAGCGUUCAUUAAAGUCGAGUUGGCUUAGGGAUACGUUCGUUGGGUAGGGGAGCGUUCUGUAAGCCUGUGAAGGUGUGUCGUGAGGCAUGCUGGAGGUAUCAGAAGUGCGAAUGCUGACAUAAGUAACGAUAAAGCGGGUGAAAAGCCCGCUCGCCGGAAGACCAAGGGUUCCUGUCCAACGUUAAUCGGGGCAGGGUGAGUCGACCCCUAAGGCGAGGCCGAAAGGCGUAGUCGAUGGGAAACGGGUUAAUAUUCCCGUACUUGGUGUUACUGCGAAGGGGGGACGGAGAAGGCUAUGUUGGCCGGGCGACGGUUGUCCCGGUUUAAGCGUGUAGGUGUGUGUUCCAGGUAAAUCCGGUUCACUUUAACACUGAGGCGUGACGACGAGGCACUACGGUGCUGAAGCAACAAAUGCCCUGCUUCCAGGAAAAGCCUCUAAGCAUCAGGUAACACGAAAUCGUACCCCAAACCGACACAGGUGGUCAGGUAGAGAAUACCAAGGCGCUUGAGAGAACUCGGGUGAAGGAACUAGGCAAAAUGGUGCCGUAACUUCGGGAGAAGGCACGCUGACACGUAGGUGAAGUGAUUUACUCAUGGAGCUGAAGUCAGUCGAAGAUACCAGCUGGCUGCAACUGUUUAUUAAAAACACAGCACUGUGCAAACACGAAAGUGGACGUAUACGGUGUGACGCCUGCCCGGUGCCGGAA
rnacentral:rRNA from 1 species